GACGAACGCUGGCGGCGUGCCUAAUACAUGCAAGUAGAACGCUGAAGGAGGAGCUUGCUUCUCUGGAUGAGUUGCGAACGGGUGAGUAACGCGUAGGUAACCUGCCUGGUAGCGGGGGAUAACUAUUGGAAACGAUAGCUAAUACCGCAUAAUAGCAGUUAUUGCAUGAUAACUGUUUGAAAGGUGCAAUUGCACCACUACCAGAUGGACCUGCGUUGUAUUAGCUAGUUGGUGGGGUAACGGCUCACCAAGGCGACGAUACAUAGCCGACCUGAGAGGGUGAUCGGCCACACUGGGACUGAGACACGGCCCAGACUCCUACGGGAGGCAGCAGUAGGGAAUCUUCGGCAAUGGACGGAAGUCUGACCGAGCAACGCCGCGUGAGUGAAGAAGGUUGUCGGAUCGUAAAGCUCUGUUGUAAGAGAAGAACGAGUGUGAGAGUGGAAAGUUCACACUGUGACGGUAGCUUACCAGAAAGAGACAGCUAACUACGUG
rnacentral:rRNA from 1 species